rnacentral:rRNA from 1 species
UUAAGCCAUGCAUGUCUAAGUUUAACGAAUAAAUAAUUCGAGAGACCGCGAAUGGCUCAUUAAAUCAGUCAUGAUUUAUGUGAUAUCUGAAUUUACUUGGAUAACUGUGGUAAAUCUAGAGCUAAUACAUGCCUGAUCAAUCCCGAGUGAUUGGCUUUUAUUAGUUAAACCUCAAUGUGUCGCCUGUCCUUUGACAGAGACUUUAGGUGAUAUCUGGAUAACUGCAAGACCGUAAUACCUUGUGUUAGCGGCGAUUCAUUCAAGUGUCUGCCCUAUCAGCUUUGGAUGGUAGUGUACCGGACUACCAUGGCUUUUACGGGUGACGGGGAAUCAGGGUUCGAUUCCGGAGAGGGAGCCUGAGAAACGGCUACCACCUCUAUGGAAGGCAGCAGGCGCGCAAAUUACCCACUCUCAGUACGAGGAGGUAGUGACGAAAAAUAAUAGUACAGAGCCCUAUGGGUUUUGUCACUGGAAUGAGCACAAUUUAAAUCCUUUAGCGAGGAUCUAGUAUAGGGCAAGUCUGGUGCCAGCAGCCGCGGUAAUUCCAGCUAUACAAGCGUAUGUGCAUGCUGCUGCGGUUAAAAAGCUCGUAGUUGAAUUUGCUAAGUGAUCUUGUACACUAUCACUUAGACCAAUGGGUCUAGAUAAGUGCCUGGUUGCCUCUCUCUCCUUUUUGUCAGGUGUGCACUUAACUGGCGUAGAUCUGUCUGAAAUCGAGUUUUUACUUUGAAAAAAUUAGAGUGUUCAAAGCAGGGAUAACUAUGAAUAACUCAGCAUGGGAUAAUCAAAGAGGACUGCACUCGUGUGCUCUUUGAGGUCUUAAUACGUUUUGCAGUAAUGGUUAAAAGGGACAGUUGGGGGCAUUCGUAUUGUCAUGUUAGAGGUGAAAUUCUUGGAUCAUGGCAAGACGGACUACUGCGAAAGCAUUUGCCAAGAAUGUUUUCAUUAAUCAAGAACGAAAGUUAGAGGAUUGAAGAGGAUCAGAUACCCUCGUAGUUCUAACCAUAAACGUUGCCAACUAGUGAUCUGUUGAUAGUCUUUUAUGACGCGUCAGGAAACUUCCGGGAAACCAAAGUGUUUGGGUUCUGGGGGUAGUAUGGUUGCAAAGCUGAAACUUAAAGGAAUUGACGGAAGGGCACCACCAGGAGUGGAGCCUGCGGCUUAAUUUGACUCAACACGGGGAAACUCACCAGGUCCAGACAUAGUGAGGAUUGACAGACUGAAGUUUUUUCUUGAUCCUAUGGUUGGUGGUGCAUGGCCGUUCUUAGUUGGUGGAGCGAUUUGUCUGGUUAAUUCCGAUAACGAACGAGACUCUAUCUAGCUAAAUAGAGAAGUUCACUAUGGUGAACUUGAUGCUUCUUAGAAGGACUGGGUGUCUGAAAGCAUCAGGAAGUAGGGUCAUAACAGGUCUGUGAUGCCCUUAGAUGUUCUGGGCUGCACGCGCGCUACAAUGGUGCUUGCAAAUUGUGCGAUCACCUUGAGUGUUAUGCUCUGGGUAAUCAUUAAUGUGUAUCAUGUUUGGGCUUGUAUAUUGUAAUUAUAUACACAAACGAGGAAUUCCUAGUAAGUGCAAGUCAUCAGCUUGUGUUGAUUACGUCCCUGCCCUUUGUACACACCGCCCGUCGCUACAACCGAUUGGGUGUUGAAGUGAGCAUUGCUGAUAACAUGUAGUUCAGCACUUUUGGGCCCAAUUAUGUAGAAGAAGCAUUGCAAGCUUUGAUACUUAGAGGAAGUAAAAGUCGUAACAAGG